CACACACACACUGACACAUUCUCACACACACACUGACACAUUCUCACACACACACUGACACAUUCUCACACACACACUGACACAUUCUCACACACACACUGACACAUUCUCACACACACACUGACACAUUCUCACACACACACUGACACAUUCUCACACACACACUGACACACACUCACACACACACACACACACACACACACACACACACACACACACACACACACACACACACACACACACACACACACACAC